UACGAAGGGGGCAAGCGUUAUUCGGAAUCAUUGGGCGUAAAGCGCUCGUAGGCGGAUCGGACAGUCGGUGAAGAAAGACCCGGGCUCAACUCGGGGGAACGGCACCGAUACUAUCGAUCUUGAGGCAAUCAGAGGGUGAUGGAAUUCCCGGUGUAGCGGUGAAAUGCGUAGAUAUCAGGAGGAACACCGGUGGCGAAGGCGGGUCUCUGGGCCGAUAUUGACGCUGAGGAGCGAAAGCGUGGGGAGCGAACAGG
rnacentral:rRNA from 1 species